CAAAGGAUCAGUCAUACAACUGCAGCAUCGAGAAAGUCACUAACGAGUGAGCAGACAUCUAUGUGACUUUUCAUGUUGGUCACGCUCAGUGCUAGUUAUUCUCUAACAAUCACCUGCACUCUCGCUCUAGUGUCUUUACACCGUAGACUCAAGACCCAUAUAUCAGAAGAAAGCGAUUCGUGUAUUGGUCUAUCUGGAUCAAUCACCAUUUUCAUGAUAAUCCUAUGACCAGAAAAAAUUUAGGAAUUAACCAUCAAUGACACAUAUCUCAAAUUCUCAAUUUUUUAAAAAUAUGUGUCAUCAUCUUGUUAAUUUCUUGGAUGAUUCGUGGACACAUAAAAUAUAAAUAGUAAUAUAAAUACCCAUAAAAUAUAAAAAUAUAUCUUAAAAAUAUAAUAUGCGUCAGCUAAGCUUGACUUCUAGGGCAUACAUCCAACAAUCUCUCAUUUGUACUAAAGACAAUCUAUCAUGUAUCAAGCCCC
rnacentral:lncRNA from 1 species